GUCUCUGUGGUGUAGUGGUUAUCACGCGUCCUUUACAUCUGCUCGGUUACGAGUUUCAUGUCUAAACGGACUAGGUCUUCGGUUCGAUCCCGAACAGGGACA